rnacentral:rRNA from 1 species
CCUACGGGGGACAGCAGUGGGGGAUAUUGGACAAUGGGGGAAACCCUGAUCCAGCGACGCCGCGUGAGUGAAGAAGUAUUUCAGUAUGUAAAGCUCUAUCAGCAGGGAAGAAAGAAAUGACGGUACCUGAGUAAGAAGCCCCGGCUAACUACGUGCCAGCAGCCGCGGUAAUACGUAGGGGGCAAGCGUUAUCCGGAAUUACUGGGUGUAAAGGGAGCGUAGACGGUAAUGCAAGUCUGGAGUGAAAGGCGGGGGCGCAACCCCCGGACUGCUCUGGAAACUGUGUAACUGGAGUGCAGGAGAGGCAGGCGGAAUUCCUAGUGUAGCGGUGAAAUGCGUAGAUAUUAGGAGGAACACCAGUGGCGAAGGCGGCCUGCUGGACUGUAACUGACGUUGAGGCUCGAAAGCGUGGGGAGCAAACAGGAUUAGAUACCCUAGUAGUC